rnacentral:rRNA from 1 species
GGAUGAACGCUGGCGGCGUGCCUAAUACAUGCAAGUCGAGCGAACAGACGAGGAGCUUGCUCCUCUGACGUUAGCGGCGGCCGGGUGAGUAACACGUGGAUAACCUACCUAUAAGACUGGGAUAACUUCGGGAAACCGGAGCUAAUACCGGAUAAUAUAUUGAACCGCAUGGUUCAAUAGUGAAAGACGGUUUUGCUGUCACUUAUAGAUGGAUCCGCGCCGCAUUAGCUAGUUGGUAAGGUAACGGCUUACCAAGGCAACGAUGCGUAGCCGACCUGAGAGGGUGAUCGGCCACACUGGAACUGAGACACGGUCCAGACUCCUACGGGAGGCAGCAGUAGGGAAUCUUCCGCAAUGGGCGAAAGCUUGACGGAGCAACGCCGCGUGAGUGAUGAAGGUCUUCGGAUCGUAAAACUCUGUUAUUAGGGAAGAACAAAUGUGUAAGUAACUAUGCACGUCUUGACGGUACCUAAUCAGAAAGCCACGGCUAACUACGUG